rnacentral:antisense_RNA from 1 species
UCUGGCUGCAGCCGGCGCUUCAGGUCUCGUCUUCACUGGUGUGUGUCCUAUUCUCCUGGAGGCCCAGACUCUGUGGCCCUGUGACCUGCAGGUAUUGGGAGAUCCACAGCUAAAACCCCAGGACCCCCUGGAAGCAUGGAAAUGUUCUUCAGACAAUCAGUAAAAACAAACUUCUCCGAGCUAAAGGAGGAUGUUCGAAUCCAUCAUAAAGAAGCUGGAAACCUUGAAAAAAGAUUAGAUGAAUGGCUAACUAUAAUAGACAGUGUAGAGAAGACCUUAAAUGACCUCAUAGAGCUGAAAACCAUGGCCCAAAAACUACGUGAUGAAUGCAGAAGCUUGAGUAGCCAAUGUGAUCAACAGGAAGAAAAAGUAUCAGUGAUUGUUAAAAUGAAUGAAAUGAAGCGAGAAGAGAAGUUUAGAGAUAAAAGAAUAAAAAGAAAUGAACAAAGCCUCCAAGAAAUAUGGGACUAUGUGAAAAGACCAAAUCUACGUCUGAUUGGUGUACCUGAAAGUGAUGGGGAGAAUAGAACCAAGUUGGAAAACACUCUGCAGGAUAUUAUCCAGGAGAACUUCCCCAACCUAGCAAGGCAGGCCAACAUUCAAAUUCAGGAAAUACAG